rnacentral:lncRNA from 1 species
AUAUAUAUUAAAUAUUCAUUGUCUCACAUGUUAUACUUUAUGUUUUUGCUGCUUUCUAAUUCUACCUUUUCUUUUCUUUCCCCAUUUUUUAGGUUUUCUUUCUUUUGAUGUAACUUUGUUUUGUGAGGUCAUUAGAUAGCCAGUUGAGCCAAAUCUAGGUUCCUUAAGAUAAUGACUUAUCCAAUAAAAAAUCAUUAAAACUUUUCUUAAAGGAAAAUGUUUAUCCUUCAUGAACUCCGAUCUAUUGAGAAAAAGGAUAUAAAACUAACCGCUUUCAUAGAACAAAUUGAAUCACUUGAUUCUGAUGGUUCUUGGCAGUGUGAUCCUAAUCUGAAACACACUCUAGUCUC